rnacentral:rRNA from 1 species
GUGGGGAAUAUUGGACAAUGGGGGGAACCCUGAUCCAGCCAUGCCGCGUGUGUGAAGAAGGCCUUUUGGUUGUAAAGCACUUUAAGCGAGGAGGAGGCUACCGAGAUUAAUACUCUUGGAUAGUGGACGUUACUCGCAGAAUAAGCACCGGCUAACUCUGUGCCAGCAGCCGCGGUAAUACAGAGGGUGCAAGCGUUAAUCGGAUUUACUGGGCAUAAAGCGCGCGUAGGUGGCAAAUUAAGUCAAAUGUGAAAUCCACGAGCUUAACUUGGGAAUUGCAUUCGAUACUGGUUGGCUAGAGUAUGGGAGAGGAUGGUAGAAUUCCAGGUGUAGCGGUGAAAUGCGUAGAGAUCUGGAGGAAUACCGAUGGCGAAGGCAGCCAUCUGGCCUAAUACUGACACUGAGGUGCGAAAGCAUGGGGAGCAAACAGGAUUAGAAACCCUGGUAGUCC